ACCCCAUUGAUACGAAUAAGUAACGCAGAGAAAAUAAUUUUUACGCACUUCAGCCUAUGCAACUGGGAGGAUCUCUCUUUUGAUAGAUCUUCCCUUUCAAUGAAUUUUCUGUAAGAAAGCUCUUGCCAGAUCUCUUCAACCAUGUAGCUUGUACCUCGUAGGAUGUACACCCCUUCCAAGCACCAAAGACUACUUUUGAGUAGUUCGGUUCAUGAGUGAAAAUAGCAUAAACGUAAUUAUUUGAUACAAAAACAACAUCAUAAAAAGAACACACAAGUGGUGGCAUUUGGUACUGCACUUUCCCGUUUAUGUUGGUACUAUACUCAUUAUCAACUCAUCGAUUCGGACUAAGAUCACAAUUGCGAAUUUACCAAAAUAAGACGACACGGACAUGGCAGCUGGAUAUUACGCGAUGCUCCUUACCAAUACUGUAUAUGGAAAAACAUGCCAUUCCUAUUCCUUUUUAAGGCCUUACAAAAGGCAUGCUAUAACGGCUAAAUCCUUACUGAAGGCAUGCAUUCUAAAGGUGGACAUAAUUAGCCACUGAUUAAUGCUGACAGGUAACAUAACCACAGAGAAUUUUCAUGUACACAAAAUCAGCUAGGAGCAGGGUGUGUAUACCUUGGCAAUGCAAUUACUCGAGUGCAACGACAACUUUAGCAGCAGCCCAAUCAUGAAUACUAUAGACAAUGAUAUAUGGAAUGCAACACGAUGCAAGAGAAUCAGAACCAUGGAAAGCCAUCGCCUGCUAGUGGGUGCUCUUGCAUGCAGCUCUUCGCUCCUUUCAUCUGGCAGUUGCGACCAGAACAUCCUUCACCAUGAUAUCCGUGCUCCGGAAGACUACGUAAUAAACUUUACUGGGCAUAAAUCGGAGGUCUGUGGGCUCAGGUGAUCUUAUGAUAACCGCCAGCUCGCUUCUGGUGGUAACGACAACAGACUUUUGGUAUGGAAUGAACAUUCAGUCCAGCCAGUACUGAAGUAUACGGAGCACACAGCAGCUGUGAAAGCUAUUGCUUGGUCACCUAAUCUCCAUGGGCUUCUUGCAUCAGGUGGAGGAACUGCAAAUAUAUGCAUACGUUUUUGAAGUACGACCACAAAAUACAAACUUGAGUUGCAUGGACACAGGAAGUCAGGUCAUCUUGCAAUUGACCGGCUCAAACGUGAACUACUCUAAGCCAUCCAGAGCCUAGGAGUGCAGAUUUCUUUUAUCGCAGAACAUGUGACCUGCAUUUGCUUGAGAGCCUAGGUGGUGAUGAUGGCUUAACGAGCUCCCACUGUCAAUAAACACGGGGCGAACAUAUUGAUGUCCGAGGAUUGGCGACAAAACCAAAGGGUACCGUCGAGGAUAUGGGCAAUGUGACUGGCCAGUCAUUCUCAUCGAAGAGGAUGGAAACAUUUGACCACUUUAGCCUCGAAGACGAAGGUGGUGUGUGAUGCUGUCUCCAUUGUUCAUGCAGAGAGCAUGUCAUGAAGGAUUGUCCCGAUGCGAAGAAAGUGCUGCUCACAAAAGAUGGUUAUGCCACUGCUGAUUCAUGUGACGAAUCUGAACUGAGGGGAAAGAUGAAGCCCACUGCACGUUUGAAACCGGUACACCUUUGAGUUCAGAUGGAGGAGAUGGUGUCAAUCUCAUGGUUCGCAAAGUGGCUCGUGAUGACACUCUGGUUGCUGAGAAGGG